CUGGGACCGAGGAACCAGUUGAAAUUUGGAUACAGGAGGCAGAUGAAUGGAGAUUGCAAUGUCAACUUGAUAGCUGAUAUAGGAUUGGAGAGCAUGGCAGACAUGAAGCCAUCAUGGAUUUCCUAAUGCUUCACCCUGAAUUGAACUUACCCACCAGUCCCUGGCAAAGAUUGUCAUCUUGGAUACAUGCAUCCACAUCACAGUUGGAGUAAAGAGGCAGAAAUGAAAACUGAAAUACAAGAAGGAAGACAUAAAAGCAAUGUCAGUAACAGCAGCAACAACAGUUAUGGGAGCAGAAAGAGGAGGUACAUUUCACCUUUAGGGGGGAAACAGCACCCAGCUGCCCCUGCCCACCCUCGGUGAAUACUUGCUGAAGAAAUGCUUGAAUGAGAGAACACAGGCUUGAAGAAAUCACAAAAGCUGAGCUCCCACCAUGGACCAAGGCCCUGGGCCAAGAUGGAUAAGAGGCCUGGCUUUACUCUCCCACCUGAAACAACCGAAAAGAUCAGACAAUUUAUCAAACAGUGGUUCUCAGGACACCAGCUAUCUGGAAAUGAAGGGCAGCGACCCCUGAAAGACAGGAAGCCAGUGAGGUGCUCAGAGAGGCGGCAGCAAGACUCUCUGCUGGGCGUGGGGGAGGCCCAGUGGAGAAGAGGCGGCUCCUUCCCGCCAGGCACGGAGGGGGCGGAGCCAAUGGGAGACCCAGUCACUGCUUCAGUGCUGACUGCACCUGACCGUGGCUGACAGAUGUCUCCGGGGCCUGUGGUGAAAACAGAAAAGGGGGACGAGGGAGGAAGCAGGGAGCCCCUGAUGAAGACUGGGUGUCAAUCCAGGUCAGUGAGCAUCUUUAUGACCACUACUUUGAACUUUUUAUCAG